UGGAUCUGGUGAUUGAUCGCUAAGAGUUCUAAGUUAUUAGAGCUCUAAGAGGAAAGUCCGGGCUUCAUGCGGGCAGGGUGCCGGAUAACCUCCGGCGGCGGAGAUUGAAAAAUCUCUGGUAGGGAAAGUGCAACAGAAAACAUACCGCCUUGUUAAACGUAGAAAUACGAAAGAGGAGGUAAGGGUGAAAAGGCGACGGUAAGAGCGCACCGCACGCCCGGUAACGGGAGUGGCAUUGCAAACCCCACCUGAAGAAAGACCAAAUAGAGGUGAUGCGAAUAUGGAAUUGUCCGAAUUCGUGAGGGCCCGCGCUCACUGUCACCAGGGUAGGUCGCUCGAGUGUAUCGGUAACGGUACGCCUAGAUGAAUGAUCAAUCAGAAGAUUUGCUCUUCGGACAGAACCCGGCUUAUAGCCAGAUUCGCACU
rnacentral:RNase_P_RNA from 1 species